rnacentral:rRNA from 1 species
UACGUAGGGUGCGAGCGUUGUCCGGAAUUAUUGGGCGUAAAGGGCUCGUAGGCGGUUUGUCGCGUCGGGAGUGAAAACACACAGCUUAACUGUGUGCUUGCUUCCGAUACGGGCAGACUAGAGGUAUGCAGGGGAGAACGGAAUUCCUGGUGUAGCGGUGAAAUGCGUAGAUAUUACCAGGAACACCAAUGGCGAAGGCAGCUUGCUGGGCCACUCCUGACACUGAGGUACGAAAGCGUGGGGAGCGAACAGG